rfam:Pongo abelii chromosome 3.
AUCAUCUAGGGAUCUUGUUAAAAUGCAGAUUCUGAUUCAGUACACUUGGUUUGAUACAAAGUCUGCCUGUCUGGCAAGCCCCCAGGUGAUGCUGA